ACUAGAAGAAGAAUUGUCUUGGGCUACAGGUCAAAUACAGGGAACAUCACUACACAGUGCUGUACGGCACACUUCCUGUUCAUAUGGGAACUGUACAUCAGUACACCGUGCUGUACGGCACACUUCCUGUUCAUGUGGGAACUGAACAUCAGUGCACCGUGCUGUACGGCACACUUCCUGUUCGUGUGGGAACUGUACAUCAGUACACCGUGCUGUACGGCAUACUUCCUGUUCGUGUGGGAACUGUACAUCAGUACACCAUGCUGUACGGCAUACUUCCUGUUCGUGUGGGAACUAAACGUCAGUACACCGUGCUGUAGGGCAUACUUUCUGUUCGUGUGGGAACUGUAUAUCAUGCUGCCUAUACAGCCUGCAGAACUGCAGCAGAGAACGUGCCUGGGAUUUGGAAUCGCAGGGCUAAACUGCAGCCCCUGGUUUUCCACUCGCUGGCUUCAGGACCUGCUGAAUUCUUCCACCUCCUCAAGCCUGGGUUUCCACACAUGUCAAACAAAGACCGUGAAGGUGCAUUUUCUUUAAUCAUGGUCUAUCACGUGUCAUGAGGGAAAAAUCCAAAGGCCUGCUGGGAGGCGAGCUGUAUCAUUAAGGGAAGUCACUGGCUCAGUGGCAGAUUCUGAAGCAGGGCGCUGUCCGUUUACAACCCUGUGAGCUUUUGCUGGGUGGUGAUGAGAUUUCCCCCAGAUUUACUGAGGUGUCCCUGGCAAAGAGUAAACCUCAGAGGCAGCAGCAGGCUGCUGCGCACAGUGCUGGGUCUGAGCCGAUGCUUGUUACUCACCAUCCUCUUCUCGGCUCCAGGCUGCGCCCCGCCAACGAGACAGAAAGGCACCCCACCAGCAUCUCAGGAGCUUUAGCAGGGACAACCCAGGAACCUCAGCGGCUGCUUAGUACAUGGUGGUUCGAAUGGCGUGAACAGCUCUUGCCUAUUUGUUUUUAAAUGUGGGUUUUAUUGUUAUUUAGGUACGGCAAGAAUGCAGACAUGGAAAUGAUGAAAAGAUAGUCUGUUAUGUUCACAGGGCAAGAGGACAGGCCAUUCCACGCCACACAGGGCCACAUGGAGAGGUAUCAGGGUCAAUCAGGAAGCAGAGAGAGUGAGGGGAAAAUGUACCAGGCAAUUAGGGACAGCCCCGUGCCCUGGAACCUACAGAAAUAACUCAUUAGCCAACCUGCCUCACCCACUCCUUCCCACACAUGCCACUGUGCAGGUUCCUGCCCACAGUGCCCACUCCCUCUGCCUCCCGGGCCAUCCUGGGGCUGCCUCGUGUGGCCCUGCAUGGCAUACCUCCCGUUUCUAAUAGAAUAUACACACUUUCUCCUCCUUGACAUCAUUUCCCUGUCUGCUGUCUUACCAUACCUGAUUAAAACGAGUCUCAUUUGAAAACACACUGAUUCGGCAAAGCAAUCACUCAUGUCAACAAACUAGUAGCAUUCUCACAUACAGAGUGCCAAAGUUGAAAUGGUUCAGGUAAUUAACAUGCUUUGUAGAAGGAUUGGAAAUAGCUCCGCAGCAGAUCACAUGUCAGAUUUAAUGACAAUAAGUUUGUUGGAGAGUCAGUGAGUUAGGAUGCAACUCCAUUUGCCAAAUCGUGGUUGCAUCACAACCUUAGAUCUGAGUGCCGAUAGGAGAUCUGAUAAAAAUCAACAAAAGCACAUAGGCUAUAUGGAAUAAAGACGAUUGUAUAUUUUGUUAUCA
rnacentral:lncRNA from 13 species